UCUGGUUCGAGUCCAGGAUGGCCCACCUGAAUCAAUGCAAAAUUAAAAAUUCAAAAUUCAAAAUUAAGAAAUUGUUUUUGAAUUUUGCAUUUUGAAUUUUGAAUUGUGUUGGGGGGUUUAGCUCAGUUGGUAGAGCGCCUGCUUUGCAAGCAGGAUGUCAGCGGUUCGAGUCCGCUAACCUCCACCUUGAUAGCGUCAGGUAAAAACAUCAGGGAUUAGAUUCAGCAAUAUGGCAAGAAGCCAGACUGCUGGGUUAUUUAUCCAGCCAGAACCUUGAAAACUGCAA
rnacentral:tRNA from 1 species